GAUGAACGCUGGCGGCGUGCCUAAUACAUGCAAGUCGAGCGAACGGACGAGAAGCUUGCUUCCCUGAUGUUAGCGGCGGACGGGUGAGUAACACGUGGAUAACCUACCUAUAAGACUGGGAUAACUUCGGGAAACCGGAGCUAAUACCGGAUGAUAUUUUGAACCGCAUGGUUCAAAAGUGAAAGACGGUCUUGCUGUCACUUAUAGAUGGAUCCGCGCUUGAUUAGCUAGUUGGUAAGGUAACGGCUUACCAAGGCAACGAUGCAUAGCCGACCUGAGAGGGUCAUCGGCCACCCUGUAACUGAGACACGUCCCAGACUCCUACGGGAGGCAGCAGCAGGGACUCUUACGCAAUGGGGGAAUGCCGGACGGAGCAACGCCGCGUGAGUGCUGAAGGUCUUCGGAUCGUAAAGUUCUGUUAUUAGUGAAGAACAUAUGUGUAAGUAACUGUGCACAUCUUGACGGUACCUAAUCAGAAAGCCACGGCUAACUACGUG
rnacentral:rRNA from 1 species